rnacentral:lncRNA from 1 species
AGACGGUAAACAGUUCACCGUCUUAUCUGUGUUUUAUGUCUCCAGGACUUGGCCAAAGUUGGGGGGUGUUGUCCUGACCGAAGUUGAGGGGUGUGUACCGUCUUAAGUAAGACGGUGAACUGUUUACCGUCUUAUCGAGGGCACAGCAGUUCCAAAGGGGGUUGUAUUCGCUCUAAAGACGGUGAUGUAUUCGCUCUAAAGACGGUGAAUAGUUCACCGUCUCAUGAAGGCGGUGAACCAUCUUCCGUCUUCAUGAGAAAUGCGCAUAGACGGUGGACGAUUCAUCGUCUUUACGAAAAAAAUCCGACCUGGCGCCGACGUGGCGAAAGGAGGGUUAGUUUUACAAAUAAAAUUUUCAGAAGAUUAUUUUGCCAAUUAUAAAAUUUUAAAGGGUUAUUUUCGAAAAAAGUCCGUCCAU